rnacentral:lncRNA from 1 species
AGAGUGGCUACAUCACAGAGCCUCUGACCCUGAGAUCCACCCCAGAACUUGCCAGUCAAGAUGAAAAACUUCUUCUAAUGGAAUCCAGCUUGAAAGCUACUCAAGAGCAGCUAACUGAGCAAAUAGCAGAAACAGUUCGCCAAGAACAGAACAGUAGAAAACCCCAGGCAGAGCUGAAGACAGUGACAGAAGGGAUUAUUGCUUCUGAAGAA